rnacentral:rRNA from 1 species
GAUGAACGCUGGCGGCGUGCCUAAUACAUGCAAGUCGAGCGAACAGAUGAGGAGCUUGCUCCUCUGACGUUAGCGGCGGACGGGUGAGUAACACGUGGAUAACCUACCUAUAAGACUGGGAUAACUUCGGGAAACCGGAGCUAAUACCGGAUAAUAUAUUGAACCGCAUGGUUCAAUAGUGAAAGACGGUUUUGCUGUCACUUGUAGAUGGAUCCGCGCCGCAUUAGCUAGUUGGUAAGGUAAGGGCUUACCAAGGCGACGAUGCGUAGCCGACCUGAGAGGGUGAUCGGCCACACUGGAACUGAGACACGGCCCAGACUCCUACGGGAGGCAGCAGUAGGGAAUCUUCCGCAAUGGGCGAAAGCCUGACGGAGCAACGCCGCGUGAGUGAUGAAGGACUUCGGAUCGUAAAGCUCUGUUAUCAGGGAAGAACAAAUGUGUAAGUAACUAUGCACGUCUUGACGGUACCUGAUCAGAAAGCCACGGCUAACUACGUG